AUGGCUGCACCGAACAAGUUGCUCUUCCUGAUCAUCAUCCUAGCUACGGCCUCUUCCAUCGACAGCGCGACCGAAAGAUUCAACGGGAGCUGCGUCCCGGCCGAGAGGGCCGCGCUGCUCUCCUUCAAGGCAGGCAUCACAGGCGAUCCGGACGAUCGCCUCGUCUCAUGGCAGCGAGGUGCGCACGACUGCUGCAGGUGGAGCGGCGUCAUCUGCAGCCGCCGGACAGGCCACGUCGUCAAGCUCGACCUCCACUAUGAUUUUUCAUUUGAGGAUUUUCUAUCAUCCAGUGAUGACCCUGAAGACCACUCGCUGCGCGGACAGGUAUCCUCUUCGCUGCUUGCUCUCUCGCAUCUCAGGCAUCUAGACCUGAGCGGGAAUAUUGUCCUCGGAGCUGGAAUGGCUAUGCCGGGAUUUCUGGGCUCUCUUCCAAGUUUGACUUAUCUCAACCUCUCCGAAAUGGGAUUUCAUGGUAGAGUGCCUCCUCAGCUCGGCAACCUCUCCAAACUGGUACAACUUGACAUUAGAAAUUAUUACAAUUAUCAUAUUUUAUACUCAGACGACAUAUCUUGGUUAGCGCGUCUCCAGUCGCUAGAUCAUCUUAACAUGGGCUACAUCAACCUGAGCAGAGUCGUUGACUGGGUCUAUGUGGUCAAUGCACUUCCCAAUUUGGUUGCACUGAUUCUCCAUUUUUGUUGGCUUAAUGAGAGUAAUGUUCCAUCAUCAUUUAUACAACACAACCUUACAGUUCUUGAGGAGGUUGACCUCUCUUUUAACAAUUUCUAUAGUCCGGCUGUACCUAACUGGUUGUGGGAUGUAAAUGGCCUCAAGAGCCUUAACCUAGAGGCUAAUGAACUAUCAUGCCCGUUUCCUAACAAGCUGGGAAACUUGACCUUGUUAGAGACACUUAACAUUGCAGGAAACAACGUCCAAGGGAUAAUACCUGGAACAAUGCAAAAUAUGUGUAAUCUAAGGUCUCUAGAUCUCAGUGCCAACAACAUCGACAUGGACAUAACAGAGGUAAUAGACAGAAUACCCAACUGUUCUUGGAAGCAUUUGCAAGAGCUGAAUCUGAGAUAUGCCAACAUCACUGGCACGACAUUACAGUUUGUGUCAAAUCUAACUAGCUUAACCAUGUUUGAUGUCAGCGAAAACCAAUUGAGUGGUCCGGUGCCUGUGGAGAUUGGCACGCUUACAAAUUUGACUCACUUAUACCUUGGAAGCAACAACUUGAUUGGUGUGCUGUCAGAAGAUCAUUUUGCUGGUUUGAUGAAUUUAAAGUACAUUGACUUAUCUCACAAUAAUUUGGAACUUGUUAUUGAUUUGCAUUGGGUGCCUCCGUUCAGCUUGGAUGUGGCAUCAUUUCCAUCUUGUCAUUUGGGUCCCCAAUUUCCUGAAUGGCUUCAAUGGCAGAAGAGCAUCCGUUAUCUUGAUAUUUCAAACAAUGGUCUAGUUGGUCGGAUCCCAGAUUGGUUUUGGACUAGCUUUUCUGAAGCUCGGCAUUUAGACAUCUCCAUGAACCAACUUAGUGGUGACUUACCACUCAAUCUGGAGUUCAUGUCAAUGAUUACACUUUCAAUGCGGUCAAAUCUACUAACUGGCUUGAUACCCAAGUUACCAACAACAGUUGUGGUACUGGACAUAUCCAUGAACUCUCUAAAUGGGUUUGUGUCGGAUUUCCGAGCUCCACAACUUCAGGUUGCUGUUCUGUUUUCCAAUUCAAUAUCCGGGGCUAUUCCGACGUCAAUUUGUGAAAUGCAACAAUUGCGGAUCUUAGAUCUUUCGAACAAUCUGCUUUCAAAGGAACUUCCUGAUUGUGGCCGGAAUGAGCCGAAGCAACGUAACCCAUCUAGCAGCAACUUUUCGAGAGUCAAGACAAUGAGUUCUUUCAGUUUGAGAAUCACUACUCUUCUCCUUAGCAACAAUAGUUUUUCAAGCAGAUUUCCUUUGUUCCUACGACAAUGUCCAAGUCUUAUUUGUCUCGAUCUAACUCAAAACCGAUUCACUGGAGAGUUACCUGGAUGGAUUGGUGAAGUCAUGCAUGGUUUGGUUAUUCUACGGUUAAGAUCAAACAACUUUUCUGGUCACAUUCCGGUUGAAAUAAUGGAACUCCAUGAUGUUCGUAUUCUGGAUCUAUCCAAUAAUAACUUUUCUGGGGCCAUACCACAAUAUGUGAAAAACAUGAAAGCUUUGACUGGCACUGCUACUGCUAAUGAUUCAAUAGCUUAUGACAUUUUAUUUGAAGGGUACCGUGACAAGUAUUUGGCAAGUGGUAUGGGACUGUCUAAUGAUAGCUUCUUGGUGGUGAUAAAAGGGCAAGUGCUUGAGUACAGGAAGAAUAUCUUAUAUUUGAUGAGCAUUGAUUUGUCUUGCAAUAGUUUGACCGGAGAAAUCCCAGAUGAACUAAGCUCCCUUGGUGGUCUCAUAAGUUUGAAUCUAUCAUCAAACUUGUUGAGUGGAAAUAUCCCAUAUAAGAUUGGCAACCUUCGAUCGCUGGAAUCUCUUGACCUGUCAAAGAACAAACUUGGUGGUGAAAUUCCUCAGGGCUUAUCAGAUUUGACAUACCUGAGCUAUUUAAACUUGUCAUACAAUAAUCUGUCUGGAAGAAUACCCACGGGGCAUCAACUGGACAUCCUCAAGACAGAUGAUCCGGUUUCUAUGUACAUUAGUAAUCCUGGUCUUUGUGGACAUCCAGUUCCAAGGGAAUGUUCCAAUCCUCCUAGAGAUCUGCCCACCAAUGGAGCUUCAACGGGAUGUCUUGAAAAUGGUUUCUCUCAGAUGGAUCUUUUUCUAGGAUUAAUUAUUGGUUUUGUGGUAUCUUCUGCGCUGCUUGCUCUCCGACGUCUUAAGCAUCUAGAUCUGAGCGGGAAUAUUGUCCUAGGAGAUGCAAAACCUAUGCCAGCAUUCCUGCGCUCUCUUCAGGGUUUGACGUAUCUCAACCUCUCAAACAUGGGUUUUCAUGGUAGAGUGCCGCCUCAGCUUGGCAACCUCUCCAAACUGGUACAACUUGAUAUACAUGGCUACAUCAACACUGGUCGUCUCUACUCAGAUGAUAUAUCUUGGUUAGCGCGUCUCCAAUCGCUACAACAUCUUGACAUGGGCUCCAUCGACCUCACUCGAGUCCUUGACUGGGUUCAUGCGGUCAGCGCACUUCUCAAUUUGGUUGCACUCAUUCUCGAUGCCUGUUGGCUUGAGGACAAUAAUGCUCCAUCGUCACUUGUAGGCCACAAUUUUACGCUUCUUGAGGAGCUCGACCUCUCUUAUAACCAUUUCAAAGGUUCGGCGGCAUCCUAUUGGUUCUGGGAUGUAACCAGCCUCAAGAGCCUUAACCUAGAGCAUGGUGAAUUAUCAGGCCCGCUUCCUAACGAGUUGGGUAACUUGACCUUGUUAGAGACAUUUAACAUAGGAAAUAACAACAUCCGAGGGAUGAUACCAGCAACAACGCAAGCUAUGUGUAAUCUGAGGUCUCUAAAUCUCAACUUCAACAUCAUCAGUGCGGACAUAACAAAGGUGAUAGAUAGGAUACCCAACUGUUCUUGGAAUAAACUGCAAGAGCUGAGUUUGGACUAUGCCGACAUCACUGGCGCGACAUUACAAUUUGUGUCAAACCUACCUAGCUUAACCAUGCUUGACAUUAGUGACAACCAAUUGAGCGGUCCAGUGCCCGUGGAGAUUGGCGUGCUUACAAAUUUGACUGACUUAUACCUUGGAUCAUGGAACAACUUGAGUGGUGUGAUAUCAGAAGAUCAUUUUGUUGGUUUGAUGAAUUUAAAGUCCCUUGACUUAUCUGAUAAUAAUUUGGAACUCAAUAUUGACUCGCAUUGGGUGCCUCCAUUCAACUUGCAUCGGGCAUCAUUUUCAUCUUGUCAACUGGGACCCCAAUUUCCAAAAUGGCUUCAACUACAAGGGAGCAUCAACGACCUUGAUAUUUCAAACACAAGUCUAGUUGGUAGGAUCCCAGAUUGGUUUUGGACUACCUUUUCUGAAACUAGAUAUUUGGACAUCUCCUUGAACCAGCUUAGCGUGGAACUUCCUAAUUGUGGCCGAAAGGAACUGAAACAACAGAACCCAUCUAGCAGUAAUUUUUCAAGAGACGAUUCAUAUCUAAAAAAAUUGAAAGCUUUCACUAGCACUGUAAUUGCUAGUAAUAAAGUAUUUGAUGAUCCUUUCAAAGAAGUAUACGAAGACAAAUACUCAUUCGUGGAUAUGGAACUGCAUUAUAAUGAUAGCAUCUCAAUGGUGAUGAAAGGGCAAGUGCUUGAGUAUGGGGAGAAUAUUGUAUAUUUGAUGAGCAUUGAUUUAUCUUGCAACAGUUUGACUGGAGAAAUCCCAGAGGAACUAAGCUCCCUUGCUGCUCUCAUAAGUUUGAAUUUAUCAUCGAACUUGUUGAGUGGAAAUAUUCCAUAUAAGAUUGGCAACCUUCAAUCGCUGGAGUCUCUUGACCUGUCAAAGAACAAACUUGGUGGUGAAAUUCCUCGGGGCUUAUCGGAUUUGACAUACCUGAGCUAUUUAAACUUGUCAUACAAUAAUCUGUCUGGAAGGAUACCCUCAGGGCAUCAACUAGACACCCUCUAA
rnacentral:rRNA from 1 species